UGCUUCCAAAUGGGUCCUCUCUAAGGAUGUA
rnacentral:piRNA from 1 species